AGUUCUCAACUGCUUUGACUUUAUUGUUGAAGUGAAGUUGGAUUUGGAGGAUCUUUGCUGGCGCGAGCUUGUGUGCAGAUUGCAUGCUUGCUUGCUUGUCGGCUCCUCUUAAAAUUAUGAAACCUUUCCAGUAGAUCUUGGCGAAAAGAGUAUCUUCGACGUGAUAACUAUCUGCGUCGUUGAGAAAGCUUAAGAGCAGGGCCCUUCAAAGGCUCCUACAGGGAAACGUUAAUGCAUAUGUCUUCUUCCCAGUGAGACUGCUGCCUUGACCA
rnacentral:misc_RNA from 1 species